rnacentral:rRNA from 1 species
GGAUUAGAUACCCUGGUAGUCCAUGCCGUAAACGAUGAUCACUAGAUGUUGGCGAUACACUGUCAGUAUUUUAGAGAAAUCGAUAAGUGAUCCACCUGGGGAGUACGUUCGCAAGAAUGAAACUCAAAGGAAUUGACGGGGGCCCGCACAAGCGGUGGAGCAUGUGGUUUAAUUCGAUGAUACGCGAGGAACCUUACCAAGGCUUAAAUGUAAAACGACCGAUUGAGAAAUCAAUCUUUUUUCGAACGAUUUACAAGGUGCUGCAUGGUUGUCGUCAGCUCGUGCCG